rnacentral:RNase_P_RNA from 1 species
GAAGUGAGAUGAGAUAGCCGCUGCCCCGAUGUCAUGUCGGGGUGGAGGAAAGUCCGGACUCCACAGGGCAGGGAGGUCGCUAACAGCGACCGGGAGCAAUCUCAGGGAUAAGGACCACAGAAAACAAACCGCCCCGAUGUUACAUCGGGGUAAGGGUGAAACGGCGGGGUAAAAGCCCACCAGCUCCGAUGGUGACAUCGGAGGCUAGGCAACCCCCUCCCGGAGCAAGACCAAAUAGGAAGGCAUUUAAGGAUGGCCCGUCCGCGCCUUCGGGUUGGUUGCUUGAGGUGCUGAGCAAUCAGCAUCCCAGAUGAAUGGCUAUCUCCCCGGUGCUAUAUCGGGGGAAACAGAAUCCGGCUUACAAUCUCACUUCAGCG